GCCCGGGUAGCUCAGUUGGUAGAGCAGCGGAUUGAAAAUCCGCGUGUCGGCAGUUCAAAUCUGUCCCCGGGCACCA
rnacentral:tRNA from 1 species